ACCGUCCAUUAGACGAUCGCUUCGGUUCGCUUCGGCGAAUCGGAGAGGAAAGUCCGAACACCUCCUGGAGUAAUCCAGGACCAAGAGGAGUCGCUAACGGCGACCGAGAGUAACGAGACGUGGGUCUGGGUAUACCGCUCGCGUCUUGCCAAGCUCAGGGACCCAGCACUACUUGUUUCAAUCAGGUUUGGAAAAAGUGGUGCUGGGCGAAGAGUGCAACAGAAACAUACCGCCGGACCUGACGUAUCUGGUCCGGUAAGGGUGAAAUCGUGCGGUAAGAGCGCACGGCGGGUCCGGGUGACCGGAUCGGCGGGCAAACCCUCCUUGGUGCAAGAUCGCAUAGGUCCCGGGCGCGCAAGCGUUCAGGGACGGGUAGAUCGCUAGAGCGUCGUAGUAAUACGUCGUCGAGAGAGAUGAUCGUCAGUCCGAUGACGGUGACGUCGCGGAUGACAGAAUUCGGCUUAUCGAUGGACGAGACAA
rnacentral:RNase_P_RNA from 1 species